CUGGAAUGAGUCUUCACCCAAAAGACGCUUACGCUAUGCUUGUAGGCGCCGCCCAAGGAUGGGGCCGCGACCGACCAGGUUGUUGGUGAGGUAAUGGCUCACCAAGCCUUUUACCGGUGCGGGCCGUGAGAGCGGGAGCCCGGGGAUGGGCACUGAGACAAGGGCCCAGGCCCUACGGGGCGCAGCAGUCGCGAAAACUUUGCAAUAAGCGAAAGCUUGACAGGGCUAUCCCGAGUGCCAUCCGCUGAGGAAGGCUUUUACCCAGUCUAGAACGCUGGGGGAAUAAGGAGAGGGCAAGUCUGGUGUCAGCCGCCGCGGUAAUACCAGCUCUCCGAGUGGUGUGGAUGUUUAUUGGGCCUAAAGCAUCCGUAGCUGGCUAGGUUAGUCCCUUGUUAAAUCCACCGAAUUAAUCGUUGGAUUGCGGGGGAUACUGCUUGGCUAGGGGACGAGAGAGGCAGACGGUAUUUCCGGGGUAGGGGUGAAAUCCUAUAAUCCCGGGAAGACCACCAGUGGCGAAGGCUGUCUGCUAGAACGCGCCCGACGGUGAGGGAUGAAAGCUGGGGGAGCGAACCGGAUUAGAUACCCGGGUAGUCCCAGCUGUAAACGAUGCAGGCUAGGUGUUUGGACGGCCACGUGCCGUUCUAGUGCCGCAGGGAAGCUGUUAAGCCUGCCGCCUGGGGAGUACGAUCGCAAGAUUGA
rnacentral:rRNA from 1 species